AAACUUGAUGAUGACGAUGUUGUCUCCUACAUUCUUUCGGGGUUAGAUGCUGAGUACAAUCCGUUUGUUGCAUCGAUGACCUCCAAAGAAGACCUAUCCCUGAGCGAUCUGUAUGCUCAGCUCCUUGCUUUCGAAG